rnacentral:rRNA from 1 species
CACGUAGGGUGCGAGCGUUGUCCGGAAUUAUUGGGCGUAAAGAGCUCGUAGGCGGUGUGUCACGUCGGCCGUGAAAACCUGCAGCUUAACUGUGGGCGUGCGGUCGAUACGGGCAUCACUGGAGUUCGGCAGGGGAGACUGGAAUUCCUGGUGUAGCGGUGAAAUGCGUAGAUAUCAGGAGGAAUGCCGAUGGCGAAGGCAGGUCUCUGGGCUGACACUGACGCUCAUGCACGAAAGCGUGGGGAGCAAACAGG